rnacentral:rRNA from 1 species
UACCUGCAGCCCAAGUGGUGCUCGUUAUUAUUGGGUCUAAAACGUCCGUAGUCGGCUGAGUAGAUGCCCGGGUAAAUCGCAGCGCUCAACGUUGCGAAUUCCGGGUAGACCGCUCGGCUAGGGAGUGGGAGCGGUGUGAGGUACUCUGAGGGUAGGGGUAAAAUCCUGUAAUCCUUGGGGGACCACCAGUGGCGAAGGCGUCGCACUAGAACACGUCCGACGAUCAGGGACGAAGCCCUGGGGCGCAAACGGG